rnacentral:rRNA from 1 species
CCUACGGGGGGCAGCAGUGAGGAAUAUUGGUCAAUGGACGCGAGUCUGAACCAGCCAAGUAGCGUGAAGGAUGACUGCCCUAUGGGUUGUAAACUUCUUUUAUAUGGGAAUAAACUGUUCCACGUGUGGGUUUCUGUAUGUAUCAUAUGAAUAAGGAUCGGCUAACUCCGUGCCAGCAGCCGCGGUAAUACGGAGGAUUCAAGCGUUAUCCGGAUUUAUUGGGUUUAAAGGGAGCGUAGGUGGUUUGUUAAGUAAGUGGUGAAAGUUUGAGGCUCAACCUUAAAAUUGCAGUUGAAACUGGUAGUCUUGAGAGCAGUAGAGGUGGGCGGAAUGUGUGGUGUAGCGGUGAAAUGCUUAGAGAUCACAAAGAACUCCGAUUGCGAAGGCAGUUCACUGGACUGCAACUGACGCUGAGGCUCGAAAGUGUGGGGAUCAAACAGGAUUAGAUACCCGGGUAGUC